rnacentral:snoRNA from 1 species
UGCCUGCUUCAAAAGUGCAAGGACCCAAGUUCGAUCCCCGGUACCAAAAAAAAAAAAAGUAUUAAUGGUAGGGGUGAAGAUUGAAGCUAUCCACAGGAUGCCUUAGUCACUUAAUAGUCUAUGUUUUCCUGAGGAGAUGUAAGA